rnacentral:rRNA from 1 species
GGAUUAGAUACCCUGGUAGUCCACGCCGUAAACGAUGAGUGCUAAAUGUUGAAUCUUGUAUUCAGUGUUCAAGCUAACGCGUUAAGCACUCCGCCUGGGGAGUACGAUCGCAAGAUUAAAACUCAAAGGAAUUGACGGGGACCCGCACAAGCGGUGGAGCAUGUGGUUUAAUUCGAUGCAACGCGAACAACCUUACCAGCUCUUGACAUCCUGACUUCGAUCACUAGAGAUAGAGAUUUUCAGUUCGGCUGGGUCAGUGACAGGUGCUGCAUGGCUGUCGUCAGCUCGUGUUG